rnacentral:rRNA from 1 species
UACGUAGGGGGCAAGCGUUGUCCGGAAUCAUUGGGCGUAAAGCGCGUGUAGGCGGCCUUGUAAGUCCGUUCUGAAAGUCCAGGGCUCAACCCCGGGAGGCGGAUGGAUACUGCAAGGCUCGAGUACGGAAGAGGCGAGUGGAAUUCCCGGUGUAGCGGUGAAAUGCGCAGAUAUCGGGAGGAACACCAAUGGCGAAGGCAGCUCGCUGGGACGUUACUGACGCUGAGACGCGAAAGCGUGGGGAGCAAACAGG